rnacentral:rRNA from 1 species
CCUACGGGGGGCAGCAGUCGGGAAUAUUGCGCAAUGGAGGAAACUCUGACGCAGUGACGCCGCGUAUAGGAAGAAGGUUUUCGGAUUGUAAACUAUUGUCGUGAGGGAAGAAGAUGACAGUACCUCAGGAGGAAGCUCCGGCUAACUAUGUGCCAGCAGCCGCGGUAAUACAUAGGGAGCAAGCGUUAUCCGGAUUCAUUGGGCGUAAAGCGCGCGCAGGCGGGCUGCUAAGCGGGACCUCUAAUCUCGGGGCUCAACCCCGAGCCGGGUUCCGAACUGGCAGCCUCGGGUUCGG